ACUCCUACGGGAGGCAGCAGUGGGGAAUCUUGCGCAAUGGGCGAAAGCCUGACGCAGCCAUGCCGCGUGAAUGAUGAAGGUCUUAGGAUUGUAAAAUUCUCUCACCGGGGACGAUAAUGACGGUACCCGGAGAAGAAGCCCCGGCUAACUUCGUGCCAGCAGCCGCGGUAAUACGAAGGGGGCUAGCGUUGCUCGGAAUUACUGGGCGUAAAGGGAGCGUAGGCGGAUAGUUCAGUCAGAGGUGAAAGCCCAGGGCUCAACCUUGGAAUUGCCUUUGAUACUGGCUGUCUUGAGUAUGGGAGAGGUUAGCGGAACUCCGAGUGUAGAGGUGAAAUUCGUAGAUAUUCGGAAGAACACCAGUGGCGAAGGCGGCUAACUGGCCCAUUACUGACGCUGAGGCUCGAAAGCGUGGGGAGCAAACAGGAUUAGAUACCCUGGUAGUC
rnacentral:rRNA from 1 species